AACGAACGCUGGCGGCAUGCCUAACACAUGCAAGUCGAACGAGACCUUCGGGUCUAGUGGCGCACGGGUGCGUAACGCGUGGGAACCUGCCCUUAGGUCGGGAUAACCCCCCGGAAGGGGGGCCAAAACCGGGUAAUGUCUUCGGACCAAAAGAUUUAUCGCCUUUGGAUGGGCCCGCGUUGGAUUAGCUAGUUGGUAGGGUAAAAGCCUACCAAGGCGACGAUCCAUAGCUGGUCUGAGAGGAUGAUCAGCCACACUGGGACUGAGACACGGCCCAGACUCCUACGGGAGGCAGCAGUGGGGAAUAUUGGACAAUGGGCGAAAGCCUGAUCCAGCAAUGCCGCGUGAGUGAUGAAGGCCUUAGGGUUGUAAAGCUCUUUUACCCGGGAUGAUAAUGACAGUACCGGGAGAAUAAGCUCCGGCUAACUCCGUG
rnacentral:rRNA from 1 species